CAUUAUACAGCGAACUGCGAAUGGCUCAUAUAUAAGUUAUCGUUUAUUUGAUAGUACCUUACUACUUGGAUAACCGUGGUAAUUCUAGAGCUAAUACAUGCUAAAAAUCCCGACUCCGGAAGGGAUGUAUUUAUUAGAUUAAAAACCAAUGCCCUCUGGGCUCCUUGGUGAUUCAUAAUAACUUUUCGAAUCGCAUGGCCUUGCGCCGGCGAUGGUUCAUUCAAAUUUCUUCCCUAUCAACUUUCGAUGUUUGGGUAUUGGCCAAACAUGGUCGCAACGGGUAACGGAGGGUUAGGGCUCGACCCCGGAGAAGGAGCCUGAGAAACGGCUACUACAUCCAAGGAAGGCAGCAGGCGCGCAAAUUACCCAAUCCCGAUUCGGGGAGGUAGUGACAAUAAAUACUGAUACAGGGCUCUUUUGGGUCUUGUAAUUGGAAUGAGUACAAUUUAAAUCCCUUAACGAGGAACAAUUGGAGGGCAAGUCUGGUGCCAGCAGCCGCGGUAAUUCCAGCUCCAAUAGCGUAUAUUAAAGUUGUUGUGGUUAAAAAGCUCGUAGUUGAACCUUGGGCCUGGCUGGCCGGUCCGCCUCACCGCGUGCACUGGUCCGGCCGGGCCUUUCCCUCUGUGGAACCCCAUGCCCUUCACUGGGUGUGGCGGGGAAACAGGACUUUUACUUUGAAAAAAUUAGAGUGCUCCAGGCAGGCCUAUGCUCGAAUACAUUAGCAUGGAAUAAUGAAAUAGGACGUGUGGUUCUAUUUUGUUGGUUUCUAGGACCGCCGUAAUGAUUAAUAGGGACAGUCGGGGGCAUCAGUAUUCAAUUGUCAGAGGUGAAAUUCUUGGAUUUAUUGAAGACUAACUACUGCGAAAGCAUUUGCCAAGGAUGUUUUCAUUAAUCAGGAACGAAAGUUAGGGGAUCGAAGACGAUCAGAUACCGUCGUAGUCUUAACCAUAAACUAUGCCGACUAGGGAUCGGACGAUGUUAUUUUUUGACGCGUUCGGCACCUUACGAGAAAUCAAAGUGCUUGGCUCC
rnacentral:rRNA from 1 species